CCUUCGAUAGCUCAGUUGGCUGAGCGGGGGACUGUAGAUCCCUAGGUCACUGGUUCAAAUCCGGUUCCAAGGA
rnacentral:tRNA from 1 species